UCAGACAAUAUAAUUUUAGGAGUAUCCUG
rnacentral:sRNA from 1 species